rnacentral:rRNA from 1 species
GAUGAACGCUGGCGGCGUGCCUAAUACAUGCAAGUCGAGCGAACAGACGAGGAGCUUGCUCCUUCGACGUUAGCGGCGGACGGGUGAGUAACACGUAGGUAACCUACCUAUAAGACUGGGAUAACUUCGGGAAACCGGAGCUAAUACCGGAUAAUAUUUCGAACCGCAUGGUUCGAUAGUGAAAGAUGGCUUUGCUAUCACUUAUAGAUGGACCUGCGCCGGAUUAGCUAGUUGGUAAGGUAACGGCUUACCAAGGCAACGAUGCGUAGCCGACCUGAGAGGGUGAUCGGCCACACUGGAACUGAGACACGGUCCAGACUCCUACGGGAGGCAGCAGUAGGGAAUCUUCCGCAAUGGGCGAAAGCCUGACGGAGCAACGCCGCGUGAGUGAUGAAGGUCUUCGGAUCGUAAAACUCUGUUAUUAGGGAAGAGCAAACGUGUAAGUAACUGUGCACGUCUUGACGGUACCUAAUCAGAAAGCCACGGCUAACUACGUG